rnacentral:rRNA from 1 species
GACGAACGCUGGCGGCGUGCUUAACACAUGCAAGUCGAGCGGUAAGGCCCUUUCGGGGGUACACGAGCGGCGAACGGGUGAGUAACACGUGGGUGACCUGCCCUCAGCUCUGGGAUAAGCCUGGGAAACCGGGUCUAAUACUGGAUAUGACUCCAUGACGCAUGUUGUGGGGUGGAAAGCCUUGUGCGGCUGAGGAUGGGCCCGCGGCCUAUCAGCUUGUUGGUGGGGUGAUGGCCUACCAAGGCGACGACGGGUAGCCGGCCUGAGAGGGCGACCGGCCACACUGGGACUGAGACACGGCCCAGACUCCUACGGGAGGCGGCAGUGGGGAAUCUUGCGCAAUGGGCGAAAGCCUGACGCAGCGACGCCGCGUGAGGGAUGACGGCCUCGGU